AUGAGGAGACAUCAGCAUGUCACUUUCCUUGACACCCAACUACUGCCCCCAGAAGAGAUUCUUUCCAGGCUAAGAAAGACCCCACUGCCUAUCCAGCAGUGGGGCUCAGUAAGCCAUGAAGUGAUUUACAAACAUUGGCUACCAUGGUCUAUUACAGGUAGAAGCAACAGUGAAAAUCACGACGGUGAGAUCAAGCAAAGCAGAUGGACUGAAGGACAAGGACGACUCUGCCCAGCAGAGGGAGGGAAAGCCCGGGCUGGACUCCACGUGGCCGGAGCUCCCAGCUUAAACACACAUAGUAGAUAGAAGUCUACUACUUGCCAGGUCUUGGUCAAGGUGGCUAUUCCUGGGUAUGGGCAGCUUUCCUCCACCGAGUGACUCAAGGAUUGAAGUUCUCCCAGC
rnacentral:lncRNA from 1 species